GUGUUGAAAGCUGGCUGUUACCACUUAGGAGGGAGAGCCCUGGGAGUCGUGCUGGAAACAAGGCAUGGCUGGAUCAUCUCUGGAAAGGAGCCCAUCUUAGUUACAGCCUUCCAGCCAUUCUGUCAGGAAGGGACCAUGAAGGUUUCCAGCCCAAGCCGCAGUUGUCACCAGCACCUGGUACACACAAAUUCUGAAAAACUUCUUUACUGUAAUCCAAGGAUGACCUUAGGUCUCACGAAAAUCCAGUGUUGAAUACCUGUAGUGAAGCCUGGUGUGACGGACCCCUGCGAUUUCCUGUUCUUGGAAUCUGCUCAUGCCUGCACAGUAUUGACAACAGGACUUGUACUAAGACCCUGAAUUGGUCAAGUGUGUUGUCAACUGCACUGGCACUGCCAGAGCAAGUGUCCCUGUCUCCCAGCAGCAGCUCUUCAGAGCCAGAGUCCAUUGUGCACCUGGGUGCUAGCAGCAUCUGAUUUUUGGAGACAGCAGCCUUUGCUUAACAAAUAAUAUGUGUGAGACAGAUGGAGAAUGUUUUUUAUGGCCAGCAAUGGGAAGGAGAACAAAUAAAUAAUGUGAAGAGUA